GGGGAAUUUUGCGCAAUGGGCUAACGCCUGACGCAGCAACGCCGCGUGGAGGAUGAAGGUCCUUGGAUCGUAAACUCCUGUCAGCAGGGAAAAAGGGAGGCGACCUAAUACGUCGCUGACUUGAUUGUACCUGCAGAGGAAGCCCCGGCUAACUCUGUGCCAGCAGCCGCGGUAAUACAAAGGGGGCAAGCGUUAUUCGGAAUUAUUGGGCGUAAAGGGCGCGUAGGCGGCCUGACAAGUGACGGGUGAAAGCCCUCGGCUUAACCGAGGAACUGCCUGUCAUACUGUCUGGCUUGAGACCGGGAGAGGUGAGUGGAAUUCCCAGUGUAGCGGUGAAAUGCGUAGAUAUUGGGAGGAACACCAGUGGCGAAGGCGGCUCACUGGACCGGUACUGACGCUGAGGCGCGAAAGCGUGGGGAGCAAA
rnacentral:rRNA from 1 species